UCUUGACAUCCAGCGAAGCCUUUAGAGAUAGAGGUGUGCCUUCGGGAGCGCUGAGACAGGUGCUGCAUGGCUGUCGUCAGCUCGUGUUGUGAAAUGUUGGGUUAAGUCCCGCAACGAGCGCAACCCUUAUCCUUGUUUGCCAGCACAUAAUGGUGGGAACUCCAGGGAGACUGCCGGUGAUAAACCGGAGGAAGGUGGGGACGACGUCAAGUCAUCAUGGCCCUUACGAGUAGGGCUACACACGUGCUACAAUGGCAGAUACAGAGGGCAGCGAGACAGCGAUGUUUAGCGAAUCCCUUAAAGUUUGUCGUAGUCCGGAUUGGAGUCUGCAACUCGACUCCAUGAAGUCGGAAUCGCUAGUAAUCGUGGAUCAGAAUGCCACGGUGAAUACGUUCCCGGGCCUUGUACACACCGCCCGUCACACCAUGGGAGUGGGCUGCACCAGAAGUAGAUAGCUUAACCUUCGGGAGGGCGUUUACCACGGUGUGGUUCAUGAC
rnacentral:rRNA from 1 species